AUAUCACCUCAGCUUUUCUCUCUCUAUAACUCAUCAUCAUCUCAAUCGGAUCUCUCUUAGACCCGAAUAAUUUUCCGACAAAACCUAACCCUAAUUCUUCAAUGGCCAGCGAUUCCAAUGAACCUUCCCGUCGCAAACACCAUCGAUCUUCUCCUUCCGAUGAGGAUACCGGAGAACCAUUGAAACGCCGUAAGCACCGACACCAUCAUCGUCACCACCGUCACCAUCGCCAUCAUAGUAAGAAGCACCUAGAGAAAUCCGAUUCGAAAUCCGAGAAGGAAAUGGUUAAAUCAAAAAGUGAGAUUGAGAACGGAGGUAAACCAGGAGAAGAGAUUAGGAUUGGUACUGUUGUUGGUGUUUCUACAUUAGGGAUUGAUUAUGAUAUGGAGGAAGGAGAAAUCAUUGAGGAUGAUAUUGUGGAUACUGCUGCUGUUGGUGAUGCUGAUGAGAAUACCGUGGCCGAAAAAUUGGGGAAUGAAGAUGAUUUGAACAUGGAAUUGCAUGAAGCUCAAGGACAAGGGCCUGCAGACAAUGUGGAAAAAGUUGAUAGAGAUGCCACUGUUUUAGGACGGCAUGAUGAGCAAAGGCAAAGUAGAAAGGCUGAUAGUUCUAGAGAAAGAAAGUCCAGAGUCAAGCAUUCUGCCAAUGGUAGUUACAUAGAUGAAUUUCAUAAAUUGGAGUCUAAACCACAGAAAGAAGAUAGUAUCGCUGGUGAAGAAAGUACAAAACAAAAGAGCUAUCAUGAGGAUGAAAGUGAUUUACAGGAUCAAAUAAUAAAAUCCUUAACUCCUGAAAAUGUUGGGAAGAGGCAUAGAUCUGUUAGGGUAUCAUCUUCACAUUAUGAGCACCCUGAAGAGAGACAUGUUACAAAGUCAUCCAAGUCACCUGAUCGCUCCAGAGGAAGAUCACGAUCAAAAAGUGUUCUGGAGGAGUCUUUCCUUGUACCUAAGUCUCGUGAGAUAGAUGACACAUAUGAAAAGGAAAGCAGAUAUAGAAGUAACUUUGAUGAUGAAAAAAUUGGUUACAACCGGGACUAUCGACAUGGAAGCCGAGAGUCUUCAAGGGAUAGGGAAAAGGAGCAUAAUUCUUGUAACAGUAGAUCCUCUAGAGACAGGUAUUAUAACAGGGAGAGUGUUGAUAGAUUUCGGGAGAGUAUGGAGAAUGACAGGGAUAGAGUAAGAGAGAAAGACAGGGAGCGUGAGUUGGCUAGAGAAAAGCGAAGGGAGAGCGAUAAGGAGAGGCGAACGGAGAGCGAUAAGGAGAGGGAGAGGGACAGAGAGAAAGCUCGAGAUAGGGAAAGGGAUAGAGAAAGAGAAUAUGAGAGGGGGAGAGAGAGGGAGAGGGAAGAGAGAGAAAGGAGGAAUAGGGAUAGGGAAAGCAGGGGACGUAGUAGGGAGGCAGAUAGGGAUAGAAAUAGCGAUAGGUACAGCAGGCAGCAGGAUGACAGUCUUGCUUAUAAUAGACGUAAUAGACAUUAUGAGACUGACAUUGAGAGAGAAAGGACAAGCAAUCACUCUAAAACUGAGACCACAAAGCAACAUGCUGUAGAGACAGAAAGCGAGAGAUCUAAAAGAGAUAAAGUUGAGCAGGAGGAUUAUCAGGAAAAAGUUGUUUUCCAGCUUGCUGAACAGGAAGAAGAAGAUGAACUUGAUAGAAUUAAGGAGGAGAGCAGAAGGCGAAGGCAAGCUAUUCUUGAAAAAUAUAAGAUAAAGAACUCACAGAAGGAACAAGUAACUCAAUCUGGGGACGUUGUUGAGAUUCACAUGGAGCAGUCAACCCAAAAACCGGCAGCCAGACAGAAUGUUGUGCAAGAGUCUAUUGAUGCUAAAAGCAAUGGUGCAGAUGUCGAGCCAACAUUUUCUGUUGGGAAAUCACCUCUGCAGGGUGGUCAUAUUGGUGAUGUGCAGGCUUCUGGAGUUGGUGGACUGGGACAGGGUACUCCAAAGAGUGAGAGGUCGGCUGACAUGUUUUGUGACGAUAUAUUUGGAGAAUCACCUGCUGGCAUCAGGAAGAUGGGCAAAGGAGAUGGUGUAGCAGUUGAGCGCAGUGGCCUUCAUGAUAACUGGGAUGAUCCGGAAGGGUAUUAUAGUUAUCGGUUCGGAGAAAUUCUUGAUGGCCGUUAUGAGAUUGUUGCUGCUCAUGGUAAAGGAGUCUUUUCUACUGUUGUCCGCGCUAAAGAUCUCAAGGCUAGACCUGGUGACCCUGAGGAAGUAGCAAUAAAAAUGAUACGCAAUAAUGAAACAAUGUAUAAAGCAGGUAUGGAAGAGUUGGUCAUACUGAAGAAGCUAGUUGGUGCAGAUCCUGAAGACAAGCGCCACUGUGUUCGUUUUAUUUCUAGCUUCAAGUACCGGAAUCAUCUCUGUUUGGUUUUUGAGUCUCUUCAUAUGAAUCUCCGUGAGGUUUUGAAGAAGUUUGGACGUAACAUUGGACUCAAACUCACUGCUGUGAGGACGUACGCAAAGCAACUUUUCAUUGCUUUGAAGCAUUUAAAAAAUUGUGGUGUGCUUCAUUGUGAUAUUAAACCCGACAACAUGUUGGUAAAUGAAGCAAAAAAUGUGCUGAAGCUUUGUGACUUUGGUAAUGCUAUGUUUGCUGGAAAAAAUGAAAUUACUCCAUACCUCGUGAGCCGUUUUUACCGUGCCCCAGAGAUCAUUCUUGGCUUGUCGUAUGAUCAUCCGAUGGAUAUAUGGUCAGUGGGUUGCUGUUUGUUUGAGCUCUAUGCUGGGAAAGUGUUAUUUCCAGGUCCAACUAAUAAUGACAUGCUUCGUCUUCAUAUGGAAUUGAAAGGUCCAUUUCCAAAAAAGAUGCUUAGAAAGGGUGCAUUUACAGAACAACAUUUUGACCAAGAUCUCAAUUUUCUUGCCAUCGAAGAGGAUCCUGUUACAAAGAAGGCUAUAAGGAAGCUGAUUGUUAAUAUCAAGCCAAAAGAUAUCAGUUCAAUAAUUUUGGGCUCUCCAGGUGAAGACCCAAAGAUGUUGGCUCACUUCAAAGAUCUUAUGGAGAGAAUUUUUGUGUUAGAUCCAGAAAAGAGAAUGACUGUUUCCCAGGCAUUGAGCCACCCAUUCAUCACGGGCAAGUGAAUGACAACAAUGAUUUUAUGACUAGGGACAUACUGCUGCACUAGAUACUAGUGUAUUAUGAUCAUAUGAUCUUAGUUUAUUUUCAGUUCUCUAAUCAUUGGGCUUUAUAUGUCUUUAUCUACUAUCAUGGGUUAAGUGCUUCAAAGAUUGGCAUGGUUGAAGUUGCAGAGAAGAUUGCUGAUUUUGGGAGAUCUAUAUCUUGGCAGUUCUUUCAGUGCAAUGUUUUCUGUUCUAUCGAUAUCUACCAGGGCUUUGAUGCAAGAUUCAGUGAUUUAGAUGCUUAAAAGGCACCCUGGAGAAGGUACCUUGGUUUGUUUGUUAGGAAUUACUGUGACUCCCUUUUAAUGUUGUGAAUCUACUUGAUUCCUUGGACAUCAGUGAUAAUUUGCGUUUUCUUGUUCGUGUCAAUUUUUAAUUUUUCUUGACAAGUUCUGCUUUCUGAACUUUAAUUUGGUCCUGUCUGAAUAAUUGCACACUUGAGGGUGGUUUGUUAAUGAGCCUUCUUAGGUUAGAAUAGUAAAACUAUCAAGAGCUAAAGGUUCUUAUUUGGAAAUAAUUUGGAGUCAUUGUUAUUUUUUCUAUUUCUUAAUUUUUUUUCCCAAAAACACUUUCUAAUAAGUUGCAUUGCAUCUGAUCCAUGGUAUGGUCAUCCUGGAGCAAUGUAUGACUGGAGAAUGAUCAGAUGCAGCCUUGAAGGUGUGGUUCCAUGCAUCUGCAGUUCUAGUAAGUAUCCUUGAAUUUCAUUACGUCUCUGGUGUAAUAGGUGGGUAUCUUUUGAAAACCUGAUAUUCUUCUCAAUGUAUUACAUUCAAAGUUUGGUAGUCCUCCAUGGAAUUGACCUACAUGGAAUAUAAUUCAAAUUCUUAACUGGAUUUUGCUAAUAAAAUUGGCCAUUGUGGAUCAAAUCUAUCUCAAAUUUCAGUUGUCCCUUUCCUGAACACUAACUUCCC